rfam:Picea glauca, whole genome shotgun sequence.
UUGUAAUAUAAUUCCUAAAGAUUUAAUGCAUCGAGUCUCAUUAGAACUCCACAUUUAAGCAUGUUUGGGAUAGAAUAGUACUGGGAUGGGUAACCUCUCGAGAAGUCCUAGUAUUUUACAUG